GGGGUACUCGAGUGGCGAACGGGUGAGUAACACGUGGGUGAUCUGCCCUGCACUUUGGGAUAAGCCUGGGAAACUGGGUCUAAUACCGAAUAGGACCACGCGCUUCAUGGUGUGUGGUGGAAAGCUUUUGCGGUGUGGGAUGGGCCCGCGGCCUAUCAGCUUGUUGGUGGGGUAAUGGCCUACCAAGGCGACGACGGGUAGCCGGCCUGAGAGGGUGACCGGCCACACUGGGACUGAGAUACGGCCCAGACUCCUACGGGAGGCAGCAGUGGGGAAUAUUGCACAAUGGGCGCAAGCCUGAUGCAGCGACGCCGCGUGAGGGAUGACGGCCUUCGGGUUGUAAACCUCUUUCACCAGGGACGAAGCGUAAGUGACGGUACCUGGAGAAGAAGCACCGGCCAACUACGUGCCAGCAGCCGCGGUAAUACGUAGGGUGCGAGCGUUGUCCGGAAUUACUGGGCGUAAAGAGCUCGUAGGUGGUUUGUCGCGUUGUUCGUGAAAACUCACAGCUUAACUGUGGGCGUGCGGGCGAUACGGGCAGACUAGAGUACUGCAGGGGAGACUGGAAUUCCUGGUGUAGCGGUGGAAUGCGCAGAUAUCAGGAGGAACACCGGUGGCGAAGGCGGGUCUCUGGGCAGUAACUGACGCUGAGGAGCGAAAGCGUGGGGAGCGAACAGGAUUAGAUACCCUGGUAGUCCACGCCGUAAACGGUGGGUACUAGGUGUGGGUUCCUUCCUUGGGAUCCGUGCCGUAGCUAACGCAUUAAGUACCCCGCCUGGGGAGUACGGCCGCAAGGCUAAAACUCAAAGGAAU
rnacentral:rRNA from 1 species